rnacentral:rRNA from 1 species
UACGAAUGUGGCAAGCGUUGUUCGGAAUCACUGGGCGUAAAGAAUGCGUAGGCGGCUUGACAAGUCGAGAGUGAAAUCCCAGGGCUUAACCCUGGAACUGCUUUCGAAACUGUUUUGCUAGAGUCCCGGAGGGGUUGGCGGAAUUCCGAGUGUAGAGGUGAAAUUCGCAGAUAUUCGGAGGAACACCAGUGGCGUAGGCGGCCAACUGGACGGGAACUGACGCUGAGGCAUGAAAGUGUGGGGAUCAAACAGGAUUAGAUACCCUGGUAGUCCACACCGUAAACUAUGUGUGCUAGUUGUCGGGCAGUUUACUGUUCGGUGACGGAGCUAACGUUUUAAGCACACCGCCUGGGAAGUACGGCCGCAAGGUUAAA